GCCUGGGUGGCUCAGUCAGUUAAGCAUUUGACUUUGGCUCAGUCAUGAUCUCAUAGUUUGUGGGUUCGAGCCCCACAUCGGGCC
rnacentral:tRNA from 1 species